CACUCCUACGGGAGGCAGCAGUGGGGAAUAUUGGACAAUGGGCGCAAGCCUGAUCCAGCCAUGCCGCGUGAGUGAUGAAGGCCCUAGGGUUGUAAAGCUCUUUCACCGGUGAAGAUAAUGACGGUAACCGGAGAAGAAGCCCCGGCUAACUUCGUGCCAGCAGCCGCGGUAAUACGAAGGGGGCUAGCGUUGUUCGGAUUUACUGGGCGUAAAGCGCACGUAGGCGGACUAUUAAGUCAGGGGUGAAAUCCCGGGGCUCAACCCCGGAACUGCCUUUGAUACUGGUAGUCUUGAGUUCGAGAGAGGUGAGUGGAAUUCCGAGUGUAGAGGUGAAAUUCGUAGAUAUUCGGAGGAACACCAGUGGCGAAGGCGGCUCACUGGCUCGAUACUGACGCUGAGGUGCGAAAGCGUGGGGAGCAAACAGGAGUAGAAACCCUUGUAGUCCC
rnacentral:rRNA from 1 species